ACCAGACUCCUACGGGAGGCAGCAGUGGGGGAUAUUGCACAAUGGGGGGAACCCUGAUGCAGCGACGCCGCGUGGGUGAAGAAGCGCCUCGGCGCGUAAAGCCCUGUCAGCAGGGAAGAAAAUGACGGUACCUGAAGAAGAAGCCCCGGCUAACUACGUGCCAGCAGCCGCGGUAAUACGUAGGGGGCAAGCGUUAUCCGGAUUUACUGGGUGUAAAGGGGGCGCAGACGGCGAUGCAAGCCAGGAGUGAAAGCCCGGGGCCCAACCCCGGGACUGCUCUUGGAACUGCGUGGCUGGAGUGCAGGAGGGGCAGGCGGAAUUCCUGGUGUAGCGGUGAAAUGCGUAGAUAUCAGGAGGAACACCGGUGGCGAAGGCGGCCUGCUGGACUGCAACUGACGUUGAGGCCCGAAAGCGUGGGGAGCAAACAGGAUUAGAUACCCCCGUAG
rnacentral:rRNA from 1 species